rnacentral:rRNA from 1 species
UGAGGAAUAUUGGUCAAUGGGCGAGAGCCUGAACCAGCCAAGUCGCGUGAAGGAUGACUGUCUUAUGGAUUGUAAACUUCUUUUAUACGGGAAUAACAAGAGUCACGUGUGACUCCCUGCAUGUACCGUAUGAAUAAGCACCGGCUAAUUCCGUGCCAGCAGCCGCGGUAAUACGGAGGGUCCGGGCGUUAUCCGGAUUUAUUGGGUUUAAAGGGUGCGUAGGCCGUUUGUUAAGUCUGCGGUGAAAUCUAGAGGCUCAACCUCUAAACUGCCGUUGAAACUGGCGAACUUGAGUGUAUAUGAGGUAGGCGGAAUUCGUGGUGUAGCGGUGAAAUGCUUAGAUAUCACGAGGAACUCCNAUUGCGAAGGCAGCUUACUAAAGUACUACUGACGCUGAAGCACGAANGCGUGGGUAUCAAACAGGAUUAGAUACCCUGGUAGUCCACGCAGUAAACGAUGAUAACUGGGCUGUAUGCNAUAUACGGUAUGCUCCUUAGCGAAAGCGUUAAGUUAUCCACCUGGGGAGUACGCCGGCAACGGU